CCCUUAGAUGUCCUGGGCCGCACGCGCGCUACACUGAGUGUCUGAGAUACGAGUCUGCCUGGUCCGGCAAGGUCUAGGUAAUCGCUAAAAGACACAUCAUGCUUGGGAUAGAUUAUUGCAAAUAUUAAUCUUGAACGAGGAAUUCCUAGUAAGCGCAAGUCAACAGCUUGCGUUGAUUACGUCCCUGCCCUUUGUACACACCGCCCGUCGCUACUACUGAUUGGAUGUUUAAGCGAGGUUCUCGAACUGCUAGCGACUUAGCUUCGGUGAGGUCGCAGUGUGGGAAGUGAACCUAGCUUUGGUGUCUAGAGGAAUUAAAAGUCGUAACA
rnacentral:rRNA from 1 species